CAGUUCCUCAGUUCCUCCUGUCGUUAUAUAUAUAUUUAGCUUUUGUAUUUGAAAAAUACAAAGCCAAAAUGCAGUUCUAUGAUAACUUCAGCAAAAAUUUCAACGAAAUACGACAUCUAGGCAUGGCCUUAUAUGGUGGCUGGCAGUGGAUAAUUUUUGGUGGAAAACCGACCUACCAUAAAGAGAAACGACGAAAUGAACGCGUACGUGACAAUAAAAUGAAAUGUGUAAAGGC